GAGUUUGAUCCUGGCUCAGGAUGAACGCUAGCGGUGUGCUUAAAGCAUGCAAGUCGAACGUGNAUCCUUGGAUUCGUUCAAGGUGAAAGUGGCGAACGGGUGAGUAACGCGUUGGUGAUCUGCCCCGGCAGUGGGGAAUAACUAUCGGAAACGAUAGCUUAUACCCCAGAUGUCUUCGUGUUUGGAAAGCGAUGACUAAAGUUCAGGCGCUCCGGGAGGAGCCUGCGUACCAUCAGUUAGUUGGUAGGGUAAUGGGCCUACCAAGGNACAGACGGGUAGGGGGCCGUGAAGAGCGUGGCCCCCCACACUGGGUACUGGACCACGGGACCAGA
rnacentral:rRNA from 1 species